rnacentral:sRNA from 1 species
GAAAAAAGCCGGUGGAACCUACGACUGCGACAUGCUUGAUCUCUUCGAACUUGGCUCAAGCUCCUACCCAUUCUACCUGAUCAAUAUUCGAAUUCCGAUUAAUCAGCAGGCGUGCCAAUUCGAUAAUAAAAGUGCAAAUUGUCAAAUUGGGAAGCUCACCGGCCUACGACUCAUCGAAAUUCAUCAAAACGGAGGAUUCACACUUGUUUGGCUUUGGACUAAGACUUUUAUGACACCAGUUGUGGCGAUUUGCCUGUGGUGGUAUUAUAAUAGAGUUCGUAUAUUUUUGGAAAUGUUUUGUUUAAAAAAUAAAAAAAAAUUGGAAAAAAAAUCGAAAAUUUGGAAAAUUUAGAAUUAAAAAAAAAAAAUUUGAAACAUUCAAAAAAAAUUCGAAAAAGUUCAGAAAUUUCGUUUAAAAAUCUUAAAAAUUCAACAAAAAACAAAAAUUUCGAAAAAUUCAAAAAAAGUUCACAAAAAUUCGAAAAAUGUUCAGAAUUUUCGGUUAAAAAAAAAAAUCUAGAAAAUUUCGAAAAUUUCGAAAAAUCCAUAAAAUGUUUUUUAAAAAUCUGAAAAUUUUCAAAAUUUUCAAAAAAAUUCGUAAAUUUCAAAAAUUUGGAAAAAAAAUCAAAAAUUUCCAAAAAUCUCGAACAUUUGGAAAAAAACCAGAAAAAAUCAAAAAAUUCCAAAAAAAAAUUCAAAAAAUUUCGAAAAUUAAUUAGAAAAAAUUUCAGAAUUUUUCUUCUGAAUUUUUGGAAUUUUCAGAAUAUGUAAUUUUGAAGGAUUUAGACAGAGAGUGUUCUAAAAAAAGCCAAAAACUUCGAAAAAAAUGAAAAAAUUUUGAAAAAGGCUGAAAAAUUCUAAAAAGAGUUCGAAAAGAGUUUUAAAAAAAUCAGAAAAACUCGAAAAUUCAACAAAUUAAAAAAAAAGUAUUUCCGAAUUGCCGUUUUUGAAAAAAUAUCAAUUUUCCGAAAAAAAAAACCAGAAAAAAUGUGUUUGCGAUAGAAAGGAUUAAAAAAGUAGCAAUUAGAUUUUUUAAAAUUAAUGCUAGGAACUUAUUAAAAAAUUGGAAAAAAAAUCCAACUUUUAUCAUUUUUUAGGUAAAAAUGAAAUAUUUCCAAAUUUUGCAGAUCAACCAACUCGCCAGAAACCCACUUUUACUGGAACGUGCCAUUCUUCUGCUCGGCCUAAGUCUCGUCAUUCUCGACUGUACGUCAAACGCCCGAAACCUCCGUGUUUUACACAAAAUCACCGAAAAAUUCGAAUUUCCACUCAAAAAUCCCUAAAAAUCUCUAAAAAAUUCGAAUUUUCGUUCAAAAAUCCCCAAAUAUUCGAAAAAUUAUAAAUCAAAAACAAAAAAAAAUUCAAAUAAUUUCGGAAAAAGUUUAAGAAAAAUCAAAAAAAAAAGGUCGAAAGAUUCUAAGAAUUUCAAAAAAAAAAUUUAAAAAAAUUCAAAAAAAAACUUUGUUUUAAAAAUGUUUAAAAAAAUUUAAAGAAAUUAUAAAAAAAUUGAAAAAUUUCAAAAAAAACCUUUUUCCCCGUUUUUUGGUCCAUAUAUUUUAUGGAGAAUUUAUUUUUUGAAAAAUAUCUUUUAAAAAAAUCGGAUUUUCAUUUAAAAAAAUUCCAAAAAAUCAAAUUUUCACUCAAAAAUUCCAAAAAAAUCUCUAAAAAUUCGAAUUUUCGUUCAAAAAUCCCCAAACAUUCGAAAAAAUUCACAAAUUUCCACUCCACAAAAAAUCGAUAUUUUUCUUCCAGUCCCAAUUGAAUGGAUCUCCUUGACCUACCGUAUUCCAUUCCUACUUCUUAUUUCGGAUCUUCGUCAAGGUCUCUUCUACACUGUGCUCUUCUCGUUUUGGCUCAUUUUUGCCGGCGAGCAUCUGAUCGAUGAUAAUACCAGAAAUAAUUUGGUAAGGAUUUUUUUUUUUGGAAAUUUUUGAAAAAUUUUUGAAAAUUUUUGAAAAAAAAGAAAAAAAAAAGAUUUUUUACGAGAAAAAACAUGCAAUUUCGCGCCGAAAUUUUUUUGUUUAUUUUUCCUGAAAAUGUGAAAAUUGCCGAUUUGCCGGAAAAUUUCCAAACUCGGCAAGCUGUCAAUUUGCCGAUUUGCCGAAAAUAUUCAAUUCCGGCAAGCUGCCGGUUUGACGAUUUUCAGGCAAUUUUCAUUUCUGCCAAUUUGCCGAUUUGCCGAAAAUAUUCAAUUCCGGCAAUUUGUCGAUUUGCCGAUUUGCCAGAAAUUUUCAAUUCCGGUAAUUUGUCAAUUUUCCGAUUUGCCGGAAGUUUUCAUUUCCGGCAAUUUGUCGAUUUGCCGAUUUGCCGGAAUUUUUCAUUCUCGGCAAAUUGCCGAUUUGCCGAAAAUAUUCAAUUCCGGCAAUUUGGAGAUUUUCCUGUUUGCCGGAAUUUUUCAAUGCCGGUAAUUUGCUGGAUUGUCGAUUUGCCCGAAAUUUUAAAUUUCCGCAAGCUGCAUGUUUACCGGUUUGCCGGAAAUGUUCAUUUCCGCCAAUUUGCCUGUUUACCGAUUUUUUCAAUUUCCCGAUUUUCCGAAAAACUUUCAUUUUCGACAAAUUGCCAAUUUGCCGGUUUGCCGGAAAUGUUGUUCGAUUUUUUGAUUUUCCAAAAAAAAAAAAGUCCCCCAAUAUUUCCAGAAAUCCUACCGCUUCAACCUCUCGUUCAUAAUCACCGCCUCGCUGGGCCUAUUAAUCUACGAUCUCAUCGAACGCGGAAUCCAGCUCUACGAUCCUUUCUACAGUGUCUGGUCAUCACCGACAGGCUCACAGAUCGCCUAUUUCGCGAUUUUCAUCUCCGCCAUCAGCACCGUCGCCUAUUUUAUUUUUCUUUUCUUCAAAAUCGCCAGGGUUUGGAGCACAAUCAAGAGCAAACGGAGUGCUCAAAUCUAUCAAACGAGCGAAAAUCGACGGCUUAAAGUGGAGGGAGUGAUCUACCGAUUCAAAUUUCUGAUGCUCUUCACCUUGCUCUGCUCCGCAUUCACAAUCGCCGCAUAUUUCAUGAAACAAUACGGAGAAGCACAGCUUCAUGGGGAUGAAGCUCGUGAUGGAUUCCUUACUGGAAGCACAUCGGCAUUCUUUACCGGCGCUUUCGGAAUGUGCAAUAUUUAUGUUCUUUUGCUGCUUGCCAUGUACGCCCCAUCGCACAAACAUUAUCGUGGAGCUUCUC